UGGUAAUGCGACAGAUGGUAGACUUCGCGACAUGGCAAGUGAUGAAUCACCGACCUUGGAUAGGUACAUUGUGCUACGCGAUUUGGCACGAUUCUUCGCUCUCUUUUUGGUUCGUUUCUGAGAUCGUUCCCGAAAGCACGGAUUCAUGAUCAUUUUUGAGAUGUCGAAGCAAACAGAUGAGGUUCUUUUUGUGGCGUGACGACAACUGAUGAGAAUGCAUCCGC
ensembl:ncRNA M79.9 ncRNA